rnacentral:misc_RNA from 1 species
GUUGAUGAGAGAAAGAUUUCCAAAAUUGGUUAAUCAUCUGGAUUACUUGGGAGUGCAGGUGGCAUGGAUAUCUGGACCUUGGUUUCUUUCCAUCUUUGUCAAUAUGAUUCCUUGGGAAAGUGUUAUCCGAGUUUGGGAUGUUCUUCUGUUUGAAGGAAAUCGUGUGAUGCUGUUUCGAACUGCACUUGCUUUGAUGGAAUUAUAUGGUCCAGCCUUAGUAACAACUAAAGAUGCUGGGGAUGCAAUUACUUUGUUGCAAUCCCUUGCGGGGUCAACAUUUGAUAGCAGCCAGCUUGUUUUUACUGCUUGCAUGGGGUUUUUGGCUGUAAAUGAGGCUAGACUACAAGAGUUGAGAGAAAAGCAUAGACCAGCUGUACUACUAGUGGUAGAGGAAAGAUCGAAAAAGGGUAGAGUUUGGAAGGAUUCAAAGGGGCUUGCAUCUAAGCUGUACAGUUUUAAGCAUGACCGUGGACAAGUAACAAAAGAAA